UACGUAGGGUGCAAGCGUUGUCCGGAAUUAUUGGGCGUAAAGAGCUCGUAGGCGGUCUGUUGCGUCGGCUGUGAAAACCCGAGGCUCAACCUCGGGCCUGCAGCCGAUACGGGCAGACUAGAGUUCGGCAGGGGAGACUGGAAUUCCUGGUGUAGCGGUGAAAUGCGCAGAUAUCAGGAGGAACACCGGUGGCGAAGGCGGGUCUCUGGGCCGAUACUGACGCUGAGGAGCGAAAGCUAGGGGAGCAAACGGG
rnacentral:rRNA from 1 species